rnacentral:rRNA from 1 species
CCGCACGAUCCCCUCGAUACCCCACCUCUUCCUCUCACCCCCUUCGAUCUGGAUCGGGGGCACCCGAUCCCGCCGCCCCGUCGCGACCCCCGACCUCGCCUCUGCCCCAACGGCAGCCGGCGCCCCCAUCGCCGCUACUGCCCCAUGCCGCCCAACGGCGACGGCCUUCCCGACGUCGCGCCCGACCCGCCGGCCAUGGAGGCCCCGUGCGCCCGCAGCUUCACCUCCAGCAGGCCGCCGCCUCACGCCGUCCUCGUCUCCACUCAACCUCAAGCGCGGCCACGCCUGAAGACCGCUGCCUCCGCCCCGCCGACCUCGCGCCGUCCUCUGCCCGCCGGAGGACCAUGGCGCCGCCGGCCACCCCGAACGCCUCCCCGGCCGCCCCCCUACGCUCCAUCUACCCCGAGACCGUUGCUGAUGCCCCUGUGAUCGACUACGUCGACGACGACCCUUCUUCCCUUUCAGCGGAGCUCCCAG